rnacentral:rRNA from 1 species
AGCGAACGCUGGCGGCAGGCUUAACACAUGCAAGUCGAGCGGGCGUAGCAAUACGUCAGCGGCAGACGGGUGAGUAACGCGUGGGAACAUACCUUUUGGUUCGGAACAACACAGGGAAACUUGUGCUAAUACCGGAUAAGCCCUUACGGGGAAAGAUUUAUCGCCGAAAGAUUGGCCCGCGUCUGAUUAGCUAGUUGGUGAGGUAACGGCUCACCAAGGCGACGAUCAGUAGCUGGUCUGAGAGGAUGAUCAGCCACAUUGGGACUGAGACACGGCCCAAACUCCUACGGGAGGCAGCAGUGGGGAAUAUUGGACAAU